GCGAUUGUGGUGAAAUGGUUAACACACUGGAUUGUGGUUCCAGCAUUUGUAGGUUCAACCCCUACCAAUCGCCCUA
rnacentral:tRNA from 1 species